AACUUUGCACAGUGGCAGAAUUGUAGCCAAUGAGGUUUAUCCAAGGAGUGAUUAUUGCUAAUUGAAAACUUUUCCCAAUACCCCACCAUGACGACUUGAAAUAUAGCCAGCCUUGGCAAUUUUUGACAAUUUCUACAGAGA